rnacentral:lncRNA from 1 species
GAAUAAUUCUCUGGGGAGCACAGCCAAAGGCUGUCAUUCAGAAAGCAGCAAUUUCCUGCUUCCUGCAUAACGUGCUUCACACAGAACUAUGAAGUUUUGUUAGCCAGAGAAGAUAACUGCAUUCUCCAUAACUUGAAAGUGAUGAGGCAUUACAAUAACAACUGAAUUUGUGCAACUCUUCUGAACUACCCAAACUGGUAAGCACAAAGAAUAUUUUUAUAUCUAGA